AUAUCAAUUUACAUCGUCUACUUGCGCCAGAAAUCUUUUCAACUUUUCGUUUCUGCCACUCAACUGUGUCUUCUUUGAUUUCCCCCUCAACACAUAUCAGUUGCUAUUUGGCUUCUUCAUACCACUUUUUACACAGGUUCUUGAGAGAUAAUCUAGACAGAGGAAGGGAGAGAGGUGGUAGGCACGGUGGACGACCGACGGAGGGCAGCGGCUUACAACGCAGAAGACGGUCUUCAUCGUUUUCCUCCGUCACUUGAAACCAGAUCCGCCGGCUGUGGCUUCUAGAAGACAUACUGCCGACAGCAUCGGCGAACUGAGAUAGCGAUCCUUUGUCUUUGAGAUCAAAACGAUAUGAGAGAGAGGGAAAGAGGGCAGGGGCGGAGACAAGGCGGCGAUUAGGGUUCCGGCGCAAGCUAUUACUUCCAUCAAUCGAUUAUCCGAUCUAUGGUUGCAUGUCCCUUCAAUGGAUAGAUUGACUACUUGCACAGUCGUCGGAAUGAUCUUCUCUCUCCUCCAGUGGUUCCUCCUCUCCAAAGUCUCCCUCUCACUUGAUAAACCAGAGUUUAUGGAGUAGUUGAUCGAGGAAGAAGAAGGUGUUAAUGAUCAUACCGUUAUUCAGAACACUGUCUCUAAAGCCUAUUUGGACAAUCCAUAAAAAAA